rnacentral:rRNA from 1 species
GACGAACGCUGGCGGCGUGCUUAACACAUGCAAGUCGAACGGAAAGGCCCUGCUUUUGUGGGGUGCUCGAGUGGCGAACGGGUGAGUAACACGUGAGUAACCUGCCCUUGACUUUGGGAUAACUUCAGGAAACUGGGGCUAAUACCGGAUAGGAGCUCCUGCUGCAUGGUGGGGGUUGGAAAGUUUCGGCGGUUGGGGAUGGACUCGCGGCUUAUCAGCUUGUUGGUGGGGUAGUGGCUUACCAAGGCUUUGACGGGUAGCCGGCCUGAGAGGGUGACCGGUCACAUUGGGACUGAGAUACGGCCCAGACUCCUACGGGAGGCAGCAGUGGGGAAUAUUGCACAAUGGGCGGAAGCCUGUUACAGCAACGCCGCGUGCGGGGUGACGGCCUUCGGGUUGUAAACCGCUUUCGCCUGUGACGAAGCGUGAGUGACGGUAAUGGGUAAAGAAGCACCGGCUAACUACGUG